CGCCAGACUCCUACGGGAGGCAGCAGUGGGGAAUAUUGCACAAUGGGGGAAACCCUGAUGCAGCGACGCCGCGUGAGUGAAGAAGUAUUUCGGUAUGUAAAGCUCUAUCAGCAGGGAAGAAAAUGACGGUACCUGACUAAGAAGCCCCGGCUAACUACGUGCCAGCAGCCGCGGUAAUACGUAGGGGGCAAGCGUUAUCCGGAUUUACUGGGUGUAAAGGGAGCGUAGACGGCAUGGCAAGUCAGAUGAGAAAGCCCGGGGCUCAACCCCGGGACUGCAUUUGAAACUGUCAGGCUGGAGUGCAGGAGAGGUAAGUGGAAUUCCUAGUGUAGCGGUGAAAUGCGUAGAUAUUAGGAGGAACACCAGUGGCGAAGGCGGCUUACUGGACUGUAACUGACGUUGAGGCUCGAAAGCGUGGGGAGCAAACAGGAUUAGAUACCCUUGUA
rnacentral:rRNA from 1 species